CUUGGUGACAAUAGCGUUGUGGACCCACCUGACCCCAUGCCGAACUCAGAAGUGAAACGCAACAGCGCCGAUGAUAGUGUGGCAGCUGCCAUGUGAAAGUAGGACAUCGCCAGGC
rnacentral:rRNA from 1 species